CCGGGAGCUGCAUGGAGUCUGCAGGGAGUCUAAAGUCUCGCUGUGAUUUAUGGGGAACAGUUAUUCAUAUUGGGCGAAAUAAUCCAAUAUUUCUUCACUCUGGUGCUGAAGGUCCGCUGCGCUGCUUUUUACUGUGUUUCCCCUUUACUCUGGUUUUAUUAAAAGCCCCUCAGUCUUAAAACAGCGGCACUAAAACAGGCGGAGCGGUGGGCCUACAGCACCAGUAGUGAUUACCCUGCUGUAGAGUAGCGCGGAGGAGCUCUUUUAGUCCCGGUGAGUAAUUUAGUUAGCUGACUGUUUCAGCUCUCGGUGAAACGCGGUUUUAUGAUACUAAGCUACCGCGUGGUAAGACUAUUUUAAAGCGUGUUAAUUGCGAAUAACGCUGUAAGAUAGCUAACGUUAGCGAGCUAGCGAAUGGAGGAUGGCUGGCUAAGCUAAUUAGCUACAGUUAGCUCGAUUACCUGCAGCAGUACCUGCUCGUUCAUAAACAAAACACCCAGCGCUGUUUAAGGCUUCGCUCCCAGCAUAGGGUGUUUUUUUUCUCCCUCAAUCAGCAGCUUUUACACCACGCUGUAGUUCAGUCUUAUUAUGAUACUAAGCUACCGCGUGGUAAGACUAUUUAAAGCGUGUUAAUGGCGAAUAACGCUGUAAGAUAGCUUACGUUAGCGAGCUAGCGAGUGGAGAAUGGCUGGCUAAGCUAAUUAGCUACAGUUAGCUCAAUCGACUCGCUAGCUUGCUAACGUUAGCUAUCUUACAGCGUUAUACCUGCAGCAGCACCUGCUCGUUCAGAAACAAUACACCCAGCGCUGUUUAAGAGCUGAUUCACGAGCUUCUCGUUUCACUGAGAGCUGAAAGAGCCAGUUAGCUAACGGUAGUUAAACCUAACAGGACUAAAAAAGCUCCUCUCGGUACUCCGGUCUAAUCCGGCAGCGUUUUUGUAGAUGUUUAACUUCUGUAUCUUAUUAAAGUAUGAAAUUAAAGUAUUUUAAGACUAAAGUAUGGUAAAUCUGGCUAAUGUUAAAAAGUCAACUGGCUUUUUACCAAAACCCUUUUUUAGUUAAUUUACACUAAAUUAAUUUUAGCGGUGUGUUCCCAAAAGACGAAAAAAAAAAAAGAGAGGGGAGGUGGGAUGCAGGAACAUGCGCAUGCGCGAAUUUUUAAAUUUCGCACAUGCGCAGAUCGCCGACAAAAUUAGCGGUAAUCUGCGCAUGCGCGAAUUUUUAAAUUUCGCGCAUGCGCAGAUCGCCGACAAAAUUAGCGGCGAUCUGCGCAUGCGCGAAUUUUUAAAUUUCGCGCAUGCGCAGAUCGCCGACAAAAUUAGCGGCGAUCUGCGCAUGCGCGAAUUUUUAAAUUUCGCGCAUGCGCAGAUCGCCGACAAAAUUAGCGGCGAUCUGCGCAUGCGCGAAUUUUUAAAUUUCGCGCAUGCGCAGAUCGCCGACAAAAUUAGCGGCGAUCUGCGCAUGCGCGAAUUUUUAAAUUUCGCACAUGCGCAGAUCGCCGACAAAAUUAGCGGCGAUCUGCGCAUGCGCGAAUUUUUAAAUUUCGCGCAUGCGCAGAUCGCCGACAAAAUUAGCGGUAAUCUGCGCAUGCGCGAAUUUUUAAAUUUCGCGCAUGCGCAGAUCGCCGACAAAAAUUAGCGGCGAUCUGCGCAUGCGCGAAUUUUUAAAUUUCGCGCAUGCGCAGAUCGCCGACAAAAUUAGCGGUAAUCUGCGCAUGCGCGAAUUUUUAAAUUUCGCGCAUGCGCAGAUCGCCGACAAAAUUAGCGGCGAUCUGCCGCUUCAUUUGAAGUACAACUGUUUUGGCAGCUCGCGUCCGGCUUCUGGCUUGGGAUGUGGCUGUGCACUUGGGCGCGUGCAAUUCCACAGACGCUGAAACUGGAUUUUAUAAAAGCUUUCGUCGUGGAUUUGACAUGAAAAGGUACUUCUAAGGCAGCUAGUCGAAGGCGUGAUUGAGGUCCAUGCCAGAGCGGUUCUGCACUGAGACCUCAAGCCAUAGGACAUCCUGGUUCAGAUGUACAGUUAGGAACCACGCCUUCAUCUUCUGUUCUUCUGGACCUUCCUCAUGAGUGGUUUACCCAUGAGGCCAAAUCAUCCACAGUGUUGCAGAUAGGAAUCAUCCUGCUGUGUGUGAGAGGUGACCCUUCAACACCAGCACAGAGAUCACCUCAAAGAAGUCUCAGAUCAUCUCUCCACCAUCUGCUCUACGACCCCUGGCUAAGUAUACACCACGACACAGCCACCACAUCAGGCACACCUCAGUCAGGUACCAUAUAAAACAACAGUAAUAAUAAUAAUAAAAUCUAUAUUUUCAAUCUCUAGUUUAGAGUGUUCUCUAGUAGAGCUGGGCGAUUAAUCGAUUGUAUAGAUUAAUUCGAAAUUACAGUUAAGGACUGUGUUUUUAUGAAAAUCGAUUUUCUCUGAGUUUUCAUUUUCACCACAGACGCUCCACUGUGGGCACAGAGUGAGCUUAGCUAGCUCCCUCCAUACCUCCCUCCCUCCCUCCCGUGCGCGCACAAACACACACACACACAUACACAAAACACAUGACGGCGGAGCUUAAGAGCAACUAGCUCCGUGAUCUGGAGUUGGUUCGGUUUUGCGGACGUAGACCAAACAGGUCCUCGCUGAAAGGUGAACCAAUUUAUCACUAUACCUUAAACAGAAGCAUGUAGCGGGAGAAGUGCUGCUACCAUAGUAAUGAACUCAGCAGCAGCACUAGUUUACCAUUCAACGUUAAACAAGGAACUGUCCCUGGCACAUCUUCCAACCGUGUACCAGGUUCUGUAUGCAGUACAAGUUAAGAUGUGUUGCAUAUUCAUGAGAAAAGAUCAUCUCAUUUUAUAGAACACUGGCACUUAUUUAAAAGCUUUGUUUUGCAAUUCUAGCCCAGUAGGGAAAAGUAUUUACUUAAGAGCAUAUUAAAUUGUACUUGUUUUCUAUUUUCUACUUUGUAAGUUUUAUCAAAAAAGGGCACCAUUUUAUUUAUUUCUAUUGCAUUUAAGGGAACAUUUUAAGUGUAAACAAAUUAAAUAAGAACUAGUUUUAACCAUUUCUUUAUCAUCUUUAGUUUGAUUUUUAGUAGGGGAAAAAAAUUGAUUUAAAUCGAAAAUUGGUUAAAAAAAAAAAAAUCUACGAUUUUUUUUGCGAUAUCGCCCAGCUCUAUUCUCUAGUUCAGAGGGUUUUUUUAUAAAACACACCUAAGGAAAAUAGCAGGUAUUAACAAAGCCAUUGAUUCCAUACUUUUAAAAAGGUAAUGAUUUUCUUAAACUAUAUAAAUGUUUUAAUCGUUUUGUGUAUUGUAUGCUUUUAAUUGCUUCCUGUUUUGUAUUUGUGUUCAUGUACUUAAGGCUUUAAUCCUUUUAUCUUGAUAUUGUUUAUCUUUUGAUGUUUAUUAAUUACUUAACUGUAUUUAUCUUUAUGUAGUAUACUGUUAGUGUUUUAAUCCAUACACUUUUUGUAUAUAUUUCUUUUAUUGCUUAGUUACUUGCUUUAUUAAUGGUUAUUGUAUUGGUGUUUUAGUCUUAUUUUGGGCUUAUAUUCAUUAAAAACAUUUUAACGUUUGUCUUUUAGUGCUUUAAUAAAUUAAUAUUGUACUCGCCUUUUACUAUUUCACUAUUAAUCUUUCUGUACUUAAUUCUGAUAUUUAUAUAUAUAUUUUUAUUUGAUUUUCUUGCAGCUUGGUAUUACAUUGUUUAUUAAUUGUAUGUCUUUAUACGGGAUUUUAUAUUUGCAUUGUAUAUAUUUUUGUUUCAUUUAAUGUUUAUGCUCUGUCUUUUUCAGAUUUUUACAUUUUUUAAAUUUGUGUAUUGACCCAAGGAGGAUGGGUUCCUCUCAAGGUUUCUAUCGCUCUUUCUGAGAGAAUUUUCUUUGCCGCUGUCUCCUUUGUGCUUACUCAAAAGAGGUUUGGACAAUUUUUUUUUUUUUUUUUUUAUAACUGUUCUUAAUUUUGUUUAAUGACUCUACAUUUCUUUGUCAAUAAAUGUUUUUUUUUAUUGCUA